CGCGGCCUAUCAGCUUGUUGGUGGGGUAACGGCCUACCAAGGCAACGACGGGUAGCUGGUCUGAGAGGACGAUCAGCCACACUGGGACUGAGACACGGCCCAGACUCCUACGGGAGGCAGCAGUAGGGAAUCUUGCGCAAUGGGCGAAAGCCUGACGCAGCGACGCCGCGUGCGGGAUGAAGGCCUUCGGGUCGUAAACCGCUUUCAGCAGGGACGAAAUUGACGGUACCUGCAGAAGAAGGCCCGGCCAACUACGUGCCAGCAGCCGCGGUGAUACGUAGGGGUCUAGCGUUGUCCGGAAUCAUUGGGCGUAAAGAGCUCGUAGGCGGUUCGAUUAGUCGGGUGUGAAAUCUCCACGCUCAACGUGGAGGGGCCACUCGAUACUGUCGUGACUCGAGUCCGGUAGGGGAGUUCGGAAUUCCCGGUGUAGCGGUGAAAUGCGCAGAUAUCGGGAGGAACACCAGUGGCGAAGGCGGAACUCUGGGCCGGAACUGACGCUGAGGAGCGAAAGCGUGGGGAGCGAACAGGAUUAGAUACCCUGGUAGUCCACGCCGUAAACGUUGGGCACUAGGUGUGGGACUCUAUCGACGGGUUCCGUGCCGUAGCUAACGCAUUAAGUGCCCCGCCUGGGGAGUAC
rnacentral:rRNA from 1 species